GACGAACGCUGGCGGCGUGCUUAACACAUGCAAGUCGAACGGAAAGGCCCUGCUUUUGUGGGGUUCUCGAGUGGCGAACGUGUGAGUAACACGUGAGUAACCUUCCCUUUACUUUGGUAUAACUUCAUGAAACUGGGGCUAAUACCGGAUAUGAUCUCCUGCUGCAUUGUGGGGGUUGGAAAGUUUCGGCGGUUGGGGAUGGACUCGCGGCUUAUCAGCUUGUUGGUGGGGUAGUGGCUUACCAAGGCUUUGACGGGUAGGCGGCAUGAGAGGGUGACCGGCGAAAUGGGGACUGAGAUACGGACCAGAAUGCUACGGGAGGAAGCAGUGGGGAAUAUUGCACAAUGGGCGGAAGCAUGAUGAAGAAAAGCAGCGUGCGGGAUGAAGGCCUUCGGGUUGUAAAAAGAUUUAGACUGUGAAGAAGAGUGAGUGACGGUAAUGGGUAAAGAAGCAACGGCUAACUACGUG
rnacentral:rRNA from 1 species